GUUGGCAUGAUGAUGAUGAGUUAAAAAAAAAUUGCCGUUUACCCAACUGAGGGCUUCCUUGAAGUAACUUGAAAUCUGAUGUGCCAAA
rnacentral:snoRNA from 1 species